rnacentral:rRNA from 1 species
GACGAACGCUGGCGGCGUGCCUAACACAUGCAAGUCGAACGAGGUCCAGGGGAGCUUGCUCCCUGACGACCUAGUGGCGAACGGGUGAGUAACACGUGAGAAACCUGCCUCGGAGUGGGGAAUAACUCGGGGAAACUCGAGCUAAUACCGCAUACCUUCACAUGAUCGCAUGGUCGAGUGAAGAAAGAACUUCGCUCUGAGAGGGGCUCGUGGCCUAUCAGCUUGUUGGUGGGGUAACGGCCUACCAAGGCAACGACGGGUAGCUGGUUUGAGAGAACGAUCAGCCACACAGGGACUGAGACACGGCCCAGACUCCUACGGGAGGCAGCAGUGGGGAAUCUUGCGCAAUGGGCGAAAGCCUGACGCAGCAACGCCGCGUGCGGGAUGACGGCCUUCGUGGUUGUAAACCGCUUUCAGCAGGGACGAAAAUGACGGUACCUGCAGAAGAAGCCCCGGCUAACUACGUGCCAGCAGCCGCCGUAA